GAAUCUUGCGCAAUGGGCGAAAGCCUGACGCAGCCACGCCGCGUGAGCGAUGAAGGCCUUCGGGUCGUAAAGCUCUGUGGAGGGAGAAGAACAAGCCAGUGAAGAGCUGGCCCUGACGGUAUCCCUUUAGCAAGCACCGGCUAACUCCGUGCCCGCAGCCGCGGUAAUACGGAGGGUGCAAACGUUGCUCGGAAUCAUUGGGCGUAAAGCGCACGUAGGCGGCCAACCAAGUUGGAUGUGAAAGCCUUGGGCUCAACCCAGGACGUGCACCCAAAACUGGUUGGCUUGAGUCCCGGAGGGGGCCAGAGAAUUCCCGGUGUAGAGGUGAAAUUCGUAGAGAUCGGGAGGAAUACCAGUGGCGAAGGCGCUGAUCUGGCCGGGCACUGACGCUGAGGUGCGAAAGCGUGGGGAGCAAACAGG
rnacentral:rRNA from 1 species